GGGAGUGUGGCUCAGUGGAAAGAGCACGGGCUUGGGAGCCAGAGGUCAUAGGUUCGAAUCCCGGCUCUGCCA
rfam:Ornithorhynchus anatinus chromosome 2, whole genome shotgun sequence.